UGAUUACGUACAUGAAGUGUGUUGCAUAGCUUCUCUAUGGUUUGGAAAAUCAGUCAUCAGCUUGACAGAUGAUGAACAAAAUUCAAAUUUAUUGAUGACAACAUCCUUAAAUCCUAAGAUAAACACUCCUGGUUUGCUGUCUUGAAGCACAGUAAAAGCCUCGUUUUUUAUUGGUUGAAGCACAAAGUUUUUUCCUAGAUUGCAACCAUCACAUGGAUCAAUGAUGUCAAAGAGAAAUCGAAAGAUUCUUUACAAGGUGUAUGCAAUGUUCACAUCAUCCUGCACUAUAAUUCUCCUAAUACAUGUUAUUGAAAGACUGUCAUAAUUUUUCAGCAGUGACCAUCAUGAUAGUCUGCUGUGUUUCCUUCAAGGCCUCAAUGAUGACCAAGAAGCUCUACAAUCUAAGAUAUGUUAAUUGAGCAUUGAACAUUGAUAUCUUCACUGCUCACUCUUGCAAUUUAAAGACAAAUCUAUGCAUCAAAAUUCUAAAGUCAGGCCUGUUCAAAUAAUGAUCAAACCAUGUGCUUUAUCAAACAUGACUUAAGAGAUAAUUCAUCACAAAAUUUGCUGCAUCCCUGGUCUUCAAAGUAACAAUUGGGUACAUAAGGAGGGGAAGGCAGAUUUGCAACGCAUUUGAACUUUUGCUGCUUGUACUUAUCCCGGACAGCUUUGAAGGAUGCUGCUUUUCGUAACAAGUACAGGUCAUGCAAAAUUAAGACACAUUCUUUCAAUUCGGCUGAUUUGUAACCAGAACAUUCACUCAAAGAAGGAGUCCAUGGAUGCACUUCAGGCGAAAUAAGAAAUCUAGAAAGAAAUACAGCAGAUGCGGCCACAACCGAAGGCAAAAAUUUCAAACAAUCAUAAUCCAACAAACUUAACUCAGCAAGAUAGCGGCCCAGAAAUUCAAUCUGUGAAUUUGGAGUCAUUUCGUUAUCAGCAAACCUUCUGAGAAAAGUGUUCACAGUAGGAUUUCCCAUUUCAAACUUUAGUGACUGCAGUAUGUCAGCUUCCAUCUUCACAACCUCUGCCUUGUCAUAUGUGUAAUCAGUGAUGCUGCAAAAAUCAUUCACACAAGGUGGGUCAAUUUCCUCGUAUUUGGAUGCAAUAAGCAUGGAGGAAACACCCAACAACUGAAGUCUGGAUUUAUUCACCGGAUUAACCGAUAAAAACCUAUCAAUGUACGAAACUGAGAGAUGAAGAGUGUCUGGAAGAAGCUUGUACUCCUCACCCACUUCUACUAACCAAUCCACCAAGAUUGCUCUCAUGGUUGGUGUAAACAAUUUCUGAACUUUCUCAAUGUAGUCAACAGUUGGUCUCCUCUUUUUCUGCAUCUCCAUUUCAUGAAGAUACUCAUAGACAUGGGAAAAGAGGGAUUCAUCAGUACGGGGAGAAGAAGAGUGGUGGAUUGUGGAAGAUUGCUUCUUUGUAUUGGGAUUCUUCACACCUUGCAAUUUCUCUUUGGGAGGAUCUUGAACCAAAGAAACCCUAUGCCUUUUGGGGUGUUGUUUUUGGACCAAGACCAUAGCGUUUGCCUUUCUCUUUGAGGCGGCACGAGUCUCCAUCUUUUGUUCCUUCUGUGAUGUGAAUUUGGAAGAGAGGGAAAGAACGCACAGAUGAAAGAAGAUGGGAUUGAAGUCUUGGGUGCAGAAGAAAGAUGGUUGCCAUGUUUAUGUAUAAUGGAUAGAGAAGACAAGGAGGGUCCGAAAAAUAAAACGAAAAUGAAUCAGUGUGUCUGAAAAUUUAGAGAUUUGGCGUUACUGAAAAUUUAGAGAUUUGGCGUUACUGAAAAUUUAGAGAUUUCUUUUUGGUUCCAAAUUCAAAGGUACAGUGUGAUUUAGGGUUUGUCUAGGAAUUGAAGAGAAUUUUCACAUGGCGGGCUUCUUU
rnacentral:sRNA from 1 species